rnacentral:rRNA from 1 species
CACGUAUGGGGCGAGCGUUGUUCGGAAUUAUUGGGCGUAAAGGGUGCGCAGGCGGUUCAACAAGUCUGGUGUUAAAUCCCGCAGCUUAACUGCGGACAGGCAUCGGAAACUGUUGGACUAGAGUUCUGGAGGGGUAGCUGGAAUUCCAGGUGUAGGGGUGAAAUCUGUAGAUAUCUGGAAGAACAUCAAUGGCGAAGGCAAGCUACUGGCCGUGAACUGACGCUGAGGCACGAAAGUAUGGGGAGCAAACAGGAUUAGAAACCCU